CAGCUUUUCUUUUCUGCCUGCUUGUUUUCCAAAUAAGGGCUGGGGGGGGGGAGAGGGCGCAGGACCCGGAGGAGCGAUCCUCUGCCCGAAAGCUUUAUUGUGAACCGUGGCCGGUGGAACUCCCGGCGACUUUUUGUUUUCUUCGGAUAAGCGCGGGUUUGGGAUCGGGUUUGUGGGUCAGAGAGAGAGAGAGAAAAAAAGCCUGUUAAGCGCUCUCGGAUGUUUGAUCAUGGCGGCCUUUUACACGUCUACUCGGAAUAUUUGGACCCUGAUCUCUUGAAAGGGAUCAAGCUUCAAGCCAGCUGGUCCAUUUCCAGAAAUCCCCGAAACUGCUUUAACUAAAGGACUUUUCCAGGUGGAACUUGAGAGAUGCUUUGGAACGAUAGCCACUCAAGGAAUUCAGUUCUUUUAAACUGAGCCAUCCUGAGCAGCAAUUGUUCCAUUACUGGAGGUUGUUAAGAAGAGAUUGGAUACCGCCAUUUGUCUGAAAUUGCAUAUAGGGUAUACUGCUUGAGCAGGGGGUUGGACUAGAAGACCUCUAAGGUCCCUUCCAAUUGCAUUAUUCAAUAUUUGGCACAAGACUGAAUUGUUUUGCUCUGUUCUCUCCAAAAUGAACCUUGUAUAUUGGGAUGAAGGCACUUUGGCCCAUAAAGGGACAAGAGUGUUAGAAAAUAACUUUCUCCAAACUUUUCCUGCCUUUUUGAGAAGAAGAGAAUCGGGGACAAAUCUACAAUAAAAUCCUUCUCAAAUAGAGGAGGUUGGCUUGU